rnacentral:rRNA from 1 species
UACGGGGGGAGCAAGCGUUGUUCGGAUUUACUGGGCGUAAAGGGCGCGUAGGCGGCCAGCGCAAGUCAGUUGUGAAAUCUCCGGGCUUAACUCGGAACGGUCAACUGAUACUACGCGGCUAGAGUGCAGAAGGGGCAACUGGAAUUCUCGGUGUAGCGGUGAAAUGCGUAGAUAUCGAGAGGAACACCUGCGGCGAAGGCGGGUUGCUGGGCUGACACUGACGCUGAUGCGCGAAAGCCAGGGGAGCGAACGGG